UGGGGAAUUUUGGACAAUGGGCGCAAGCCUGAUCCAGCCAUGCCGCGUGCGGGAAGAAGGCCUUCGGGUUGUAAACCGCUUUUGUUAGGGAAGAAAUCUUCUGAGUUAAUACCUCGGGAGGAUGACGGUACCUGAAGAAUAAGCACCGGCUAACUACGUGCCAGCAGCCGCGGUAAUACGUAGGGUGCAAGCGUUAAUCGGAAUUACUGGGCGUAAAGCGUGCGCAAGGCGGUUUUGUAAGACAGAGGUGAAAUCCCCGGGCUCAACCUGGGAACUGCCUUUGUGACUGCAAGGCUUGAGUGCGGCAGAGGGGGAUGGAAUUCCGCGUGUAGCAGUGAAAUGCGUAGAUAUGCGGAGGAACACCGAUGGGCGAAGGCAAUCCCCUGGGCCUGCACUGACGCUCAUGCACGAAAGCGUGGGGAGCAAAACAGGAUUAGAUAGCCCCUGGUAGUCCACGCCCUAAACGAUGUCAACUGGUUGUUGGGAAGGUUCCUUCUCAGUAACGUAGCUAACGCNUGAAGUUGACCGCCUGGGGAGUACGGCCGCAACGGUUGAGACUUGAAAUGAAUUGACGGGGGUCAUAGCUG
rnacentral:rRNA from 1 species